UUCCUCUUCAGCAGCACAUAUACUAAAAUUGGAAUGAUACAGAGAAGAUUAGCAUGGCCUCUGCGCAAGGAUGACACGCAAAUUCGUGAAGCGUUUCCACUGGCC
rfam:Chelonia mydas contig215307, whole genome shotgun sequence.